ACCGAAAAGAAAUACAGGCUUCCUAAUAUUUGGUGAUUUAAUAGUAAUUUCCCACCUAUCAAAGAUGCAGUAUUUAGCCACGUGUAGCACUCCAGAGAAAGAGACCUGAUACACAAUAAGCUGGACUGUGUAGUUGCAGUGUGCUUUUAUGCUGUGGCUUUAGGACCCAUACUUAAAGAACGACCGAAAACAGGCAGCUAAUGUUCUUGAUGUAUAUAGUCACAAACGUUCUUCUUGUAAGUGAUUUUAUGAAACAAAUGGCAGAUUCUUUUGUGGCGUAGUUUACAGGACUCUGUGUCUGUGGCCUUGGUACAUAAUUCACUGAUAAACAAAAGUUUGUUUCCUCUUUACUUUAGAUAUAUUUUUCUCCUUGCUGCUGCCAUUCCUUAUAUUAAGCUAACAAAUCCUCACAUGCGGUAUCCUUUCUGGAAGGGAGGUAUUUCCUAAAUCUGUUCAUUAUCUGUAAUCAAGCCUGUCUAUAAAGAAAUAAGAUCAGGUAAAGCUCUAUUCCCUGCUUUAAUAUAGCAAACGCUGGAAGAAAUUACCUGGAACAGCAGAAUAAUUUUACAGCUUUCAAGGUUUAAUGUGAACACUUCAGUUUUUACCUUUAUAAACAGGCUGUCAAGUCUGCUUAUGUCAAUCUGUUAUAAAAUAAGCCUACUCAUAUGAAAUUCACAGUUCUCAGUCACUCAAGAUGUUUUGGAGCCAGUUUAAUUUUAGCAAUGGCAACAACCCUGUAGCUGGUUGAGGUCUCUGUGAAUCUUCAUCAGUAGAUUUAGAGCGAGGGUGGCAGUGACUAAAGUUGUGCUCUCUUUCCUUAAAAAGUUUUAUCGUUAUAGUAUAAAGACUACCUUUUAAUAAGAUUAACGGUAGUAAGAUUUCCAAUGCUCCAUUAUUAGAGCCAUCUUAAAAAAUCUGUCUGUGGCUGACUGAAAUAGUCUGAAACAGUUAGAAGGUAUCUAUGCUACAGAAAUUUGCUUUUAACUGUCUGAAUUAGAAACUACUGUGAAAAAAUUAAGAGGCUAUAGUUAGGUUAUGUGUAAUGGUGCUGGAAUAGUUCCAGUCUCCUCGUGUUGGUGUUAAGAGAUCUCUACUCCCCACUUAGUCUAGUGAAAUUAUAGCUACGUAAAGGAAUUUUUUUAUAACAGAAAAUCUUAUCAGUGCUCAGAUUUACCAUUUUGCCAUCUUAAUUAGCUGUCAUCUCGUACACGAAGAACACAUCACCUAUGGUAUGUGAAGAUUUGGGUUAUUUUAGUAGGUAUUUAGCAUCUUUUGUGAGACUUUGUGGAAGCACACAAUAUAAGGGUGUUGUGUUUAAGGGUAAGUAUCUUAGCAUCACUUUAAAAACUUGCCUUGUUCUUUAACAUGCAGAUUUCCUUCAGAGUUCAUAGACUGGUUUACAGAGGAAUAAGCAAAAAGAAGGGUAGCCAUAUCAACAGCACCUUUAGAGGUACAUCUGGAGGUAUUCUAUACGUAAUAAAAUCUGGGUGUAGUUCAGUUUCUGAUAGGGUACUGUGAUAACACUGAGCGUCUAUUCAUAAUUUGAUGCCAGUGGUGCUUUUAAUAUGGUCUCUUCUAUAGGGCUGGAACAUGCCAGAUUUUCCAGCAGGCUAAGCUCUAUGUAACUGUUCUGUUGCACGUUUCUCAUAAAGUAUGUAGAGAAAGUCAGAUAUUUUUUUAAUAAAGGCCAAUUGUUGUAAUCAGUUGCUCUAUAUUUGAAUGUCUGCUAACUUAUAAACAUUUAUAGUAGACUGAACUUUAGAAUGCUGAUUUCAACAAACAAAAUAAAGAAGUUCUUUUUUGUUGGAAGAUUGAUUUUUUUUUUUUUUUUUUUGGUUGGUUUAAAAAAUUGUUUUAAAAAUUCACAGAUUGUAAUAGAGAUCCUGAGUUAGCCUUCUUUUGAGCAUGCAUUUGUGCAAGUACUUGACAUUGAUAAUUUUACAGACUUGCCAGAAAAUAGAGUAGGAAAUUAUGCUUAGUGUUCAGGAAUUUGGUACUGUUGCAUUUUGAGAAGAGUAACAUCUAAAAUGACACAAACUUCUGCCUUUUAUUUCUGCUGUGUUCAUAGAUUCCAGAAGGACUUAAUGUAUGGACUUCAAGUCACGGAGGUAGCAGUAGAGAAGUGCUGCUUUAUGGUGUUAUUGUAUGUAUGUGCUGAGGUAGCUGGUGUCAUCUGGGAUGUUUGGAGGGAGACCUAGCAGAGUUUAGUGGGUGUCAUCGGGCAGUGACACCAAUGAGCUGUGGGAUUUAGGCCCCUUUUUGAAAAUUGAGAUUUUAAGGACUUUGAGACAAAAGAUGCAGAAGUGAAGUUUGAAGUGUAGCAUGUUGUUUCCAUUCUGAAAAGUGUUUUCCUUGUGUGUACCUGGAUCAGCCUUGGAGUCUCUUUCACUCUAGCUCUUUUUAUAUUGCAUCGUAAAGACUGUCCUGUCUGGUGUAGGCUUGUUGCAUUGCUCCCACCGCACAAGUUUAUUUUGAGAUGUUGUUCCAGACAAGAUGCAAGAUCAACUUUUAAAGAUUGUGCAGUCACUGCCUGCUGGGGAGGUUGACUGCCUCCCCUGCCACUAAGAGGAAAGUACAGGCCCAGGUUCAAGCAGAUGAAGUGACUUAUAUGUCUACUCUUUCUGCAUGAGGAGUCCUUUCCUGUGCCCUACGCACGUGUGUCCUUCUGUUUGCAACACCGAGAAGGUUCCCACCAAACCUCCAAGGGAUGCAUCAGGCAGGCCAGCUACACAGUCGACAGACCUUACUGAAAUGGUAAACUUUUCACUGUGAUGGAAUGAGGACUGGGCUAUAGGAACAACCUGGAGCUGCUGUGAAGUUUAGUAGAGCAGCAGACAGCAGACAAAUAUUUUAAAGGGCUGUUGUGGUCAUAGAUUUCAUAUUCUGCUUACUAUCCUUACUGUAUCACAUUUUGAGUUUCUUAUGUAGCUCUCAAAAUGAACUAAUACAUAUGCAUUGAAAUUCAGCAUGUGUACUAUCCUCUAGAAAUAAAUCAAGAUCAACCUGUAAA